GCAUAUCAAUAAGCGGAGGAAAAGAAACCAACAGGGAUUGCCCUAGUAACGGCGAGUGAAGCGGCAACAGCUCAAAUUUGAAAUCUGGCUCUUUCAGGGUCCGAGUUGUAAUUUGCAGAGGGCGCUUUGGCGUUGGCAGCGGUCCAAGUUCUUUGGAACAGGACGUCACAGAGGGUGAGAAUCCCGUACGUGGUCGCUAGCCUUCGCCGUGUAAAGCCCCUUCGACGAGUCGAGUUGUUUGGGAAUGCAGCUCUAAAUGGGAGGUAAAUUUCUUCUAAAGCUAAAUACUGGCCAGAGACCGAUAGCGCACAAGUAGAGUGAUCGAAAGAUGAAAAGCACUUUGGAAAGAGAGUCAAAUAGCACGUGAAAUUGUUGAAAGGGAAGCGCUUGCAGCCAGACUUGCCUGUAGUUGCUUAUCUGGACUUUUGUCCGGUGCACUCUUCUGCGGGCAGGCCAGCAUCAGUUUGGGCGGUUGGAUAAAGGUCUCUGUCAUGUACCUCCUUUCGGGGAGGCCUUAUAGGGGAGACGACAUGCAACCAGCCUGGACUGAGGUCCGCGCAUCUGCUAGGAUGCUGGCGUAAUGGCUGUAAGCGGCCCGUCUUGAAACACGGACCAAGGAGUCUAACAUCUAUGCGAUGUUUGGGUG
rnacentral:rRNA from 1 species